AGCGAACGCUGGCGGCAGGCUUAACACAUGCAAGUCGAGCGGGCACUUUCGGGUGUCAGCGGCGGACGGGUGAGUAACGCGUGGGAACGUGCCCUCUGGUUCGGAAUAACUCAGGGAAACUUGAGCUAAUACCGGAUACGCCUAUCUGGGGAAAGGCGGGCGGCCGGGGGAUCGGCUCGCGUCUGAUUGGCUGGUUGGUGAGGUAACGGCACGACCAGGCGACGAUCAGUAUCUGGUCUGAGAGGAGGCUCAGCCACGCUGGGACUGAGGCACGGCCCAGACUCCUACGCAGGGCAGCAGUGGGGAAUAUUGGGGGAUGGGCGCAAGCCUGAUCCAGCCGUGCCGCGGAAGUGAGGAAGGCCUUAGGGUUGUAAAGCUCUUUUAGCCGAGGCGAUAAUGACGGUACCGGGGGAAUAAGCCCCGGCUAACUUCGUG
rnacentral:rRNA from 1 species